AUGCUCGUGUCAGCAGCACAUAUGCUAAAAGCAGAAUGAUGCAGAGUGGAUUAGCAUGGCCCCUGCACAAAGAUGACAUGCAGAUUCACGAAGCAUUCCAUGUUGAG
ensembl:snRNA U6 U6 spliceosomal RNA